GACGAACGCUGGCGGCGUGCUUAACACAUGCAAGUCGAACGGAAAGGCCCUGCUUUUGUGGGGUGCUCGAGUGGCGAACGGGUGAGUAACACGUGAUUAACCUGCCCUUGACUUUGGGAUAACUUCAGGAAACUGGGGCUAAUACCGGAUAGGAGCUCCUGCUGCAUGGUGGGGGUUGGAAAGUUUCGGCGGUUGGGGAUGGACUCGCGGCUUAUCAGCUUGUUGGUGGGGUAGUGGCUUACCAAGGCUUUGACGGGUAGCCGGCCUGAGAGGGUGACCGGCCACAUUGGGACUGAGAUACGGCCCAGACUCCUACGGGAGGCAGCAGUGGGGAAUAUUGCAAAAUGGGCGGAAGCCUGAUGCAGCAACGCCGCGUGCGGGAUGACGGCCUUCGGGUUGUAAACCGCUUUCGCCUGUGACGAAGCGUGAGUGACGGUAAUGGGUAAAGAAGCACCGGCUAACUACGUG
rnacentral:rRNA from 1 species